AACGAACGCUGGCGGCAGGCUUAACACAUGCAAGUCGAACGGAUGGGUGUAGCAAUACAUUUCAUCAGUGGCAGACGGGUGAGUAACACGUGGGAACCUUCCUCGUUGUACGGGACAACUCAGGGAAACUUGAGCUAAUACCGUAUAAGUCCGAGAGGAGAAAGAUUUAUCGCAAUGAGACGGGCCCGCGUCGGAUUAGCUAGUUGGUGGGGUAACGGCCUACCAAGGCGACGAUCCGUAGCUGAUCUGAGAGGAUGAUCAGCCACACUGGGGACUGAGAC
rnacentral:rRNA from 1 species